CUUAGCUGUGCUUUUAUAUGGUAUUCCUAUUUGUGUGCAAAUGGUGUUUUACACCAAGGACCAUGAAGAUCUACAAGGGACACCUAGAGCAUCUGUGCUUGAUUAUUUACUCAGAACUGCACAGCCUCACUGAACCCAUGUCACCAUCAGCAACAAUGACAGCUGGGACAUUGGCCAUCUGUCUUCUCAAUGACAUGAGCAACUGGGCACAUAAAAGGGCACUUUUCUUUAGAUGCGAAAACUGUUACAGCAUCUACUACACAUGUUAGAAGGAACAGAAAUCAGAUUGCAAAUUAUCUGAGCAGUCAACAUUAAACAUUCAGCUCUGAAGAUAAAGAUCUGGAGUGUUAAUGGA